CCUACGGGAGUCAGCAGUGAGGAAUAUUGGUCAAUGGGCGCGAGCCUGAACCAGCCAAGUCGCGUGAGGGAUGACGGUCCUAUGGAUUGUAAACCUCUUUUGUCGGGGAGCAAGGCCCGCCACGUGUGGCGGGAAGGAGAGUACCCGAAGAAAAAGCAUCGGCUAACUCCGUGCCAGCAGCCGCGGUAAUACGGAGGAUGCGAGCGUUAUCCGGAUUUAUUGGGUUUAAAGGGUGCGUAGGCGGAAGGUUAAGUCAGCGGUAAAAUGUCGGUGCUCAACACCGGCCGGCCGUUGAAACUGGUCUUCUUGAGUGAGCGAGAAGUAUGCGGAAUGCGUGGUGUAGCGGUGAAAUGCAUAGAUAUCACGCAGAACUCCGAUUGCGAAGGCAGCAUACCGGCGCUCAACUGACGCUGAGGCACGAAAGCGUGGGGAUCGAACAGGAUUAGAUACCCGUGUAGUC
rnacentral:rRNA from 1 species